rnacentral:rRNA from 1 species
GUAGGGUGCAAGCGUUAUCCGGAAUCAUUGGGCGUAAAGAGCUCGUAGGCGGUUCAGCAAGUCGGCUGUGAAAUCCCGAGGCUUAACCUCGGAACUGCAGUCGAUACUGCUGUGACUAGAGUCCGGUAGAGGAGAAUGGAAUUCCCGGUGUAGCGGUGAAAUGCGCAGAUAUCGGGAGGAACACCAGUAGCGAAGGCGGUUCUCUGGGCCGGUACCGACGCUGAGGAGCGAAAGCGUGGGGUAGCAAACAGGAUUAGAUACCCUGGUAGUCCACGCCGUAAACGUUGGACACUAGGUGUGGCGUUCCGACCAACGGGUGCCGUGCCGAAGCUAACGCAUUAAGUGUCCCCGCCUGGGGAGUACGGCCGCAAGGCUA